rnacentral:tRNA from 1 species
GAGGGUCGUCCCAGCACUCACCCGCCCAUGAACGCAGGUGAACAGCACUGCACUCCACCCCGCGAGGCACCAACAGACUUGGAAAGCGUGGUGGGGGCAACCCCUCACGAGUUCGAAUCUCGUAUCCUCCGCCA